rfam:Solanum lycopersicum cultivar Heinz 1706 chromosome 7, whole genome shotgun sequence.
AGAAUAAAAUGUAGCCAAAGAUGACCUGCCGAUAUGUCAUUGCAUUAGGCUACAACAUCUCGGCAAGUCAUCCUUGGCUGCACUCCACUCCCU